AGAAAAAUGUAGCUCAGUGGUAGAGCAUCUGCCUUGCAUGCAGAAGGUCCAGACUCAAUCCCCAGCAUCUCCA